ensembl:lncRNA
AGAUAGGACACGCCCCUUUGAGCUGCAUGCUACAGCGAGGCUAAGCUAGUGGGGGCAAAGUUUCAAUGCAUUCCGUUGAUGUAGACGGCGUGAAAACGGAAACAACAAGUAUGCCGGCUCACUGUGCUGCAUACAAUUACACACUGCGUCGUACGAUUGAGACAAGGAAACUUGGAAUGACUUCUCAUAGGUUUCCCAGAGACUAUGGAUUGAGGAGGAAUUGGAAGUUUGUCGGCUUAGACCUGGUGUCAUUCCAUCAGUGUUUAACUUCCCGGCUCAUCUUGGAAGAGUACGUGCCAGAAAGACCACGACCAAGCAGCCUUGAGAUCUUAGACAGCGUCUCCCUGAGGUCCCUCUCUAUCUCCCCACACAUCCACCAACCACUGGAACACAUCUCCAAAGUUCUGCAGGGCCAGCUCAGCUUCCCCUCAGAAGAAGUGCCGCCACCUGCCAGAUGAAGGAGCCUUUUGAGAGGCAGCUGGCAUCGUGAUUGGACUGUACUUUGGUCUGUUCCAAUCCAGCUUCAGCUCCAAGAGAUUGCAGGCGGGACGAGUCAACGGAGGCCGGGUGGACGAAGGCAUGCAGCUGAGUACAAUCCAGAAAACAACAGAAGAGGAGUGCAGCAGCCCAGGGCCAGAACAAACAGAGUAGCAUGACCAAAGAACUACAGAUUUUUCACAACCUGCUCAAACUCUUGGUACAGGAC